rnacentral:ncRNA from 2 species
UUGGCUGGGGCGGCACAUCUG